UCAGAUCUGCCUCUCUCCACAGGACAUGAGCUAGUCUGUCUCUCUCCCAUACCCCACCAAGGUGCCAGUCUGUCUGUACCAUGUAUGUGCAGUGCCUGGAGGCCAGAAGAGGGCAUCAGAUUUUUUUGAAGCUGAAGUUACACAUGGCUAUGAGCUUCCUAAGCCCUAUGUGGAAAUUCAGGCCCAUAUUGGAAUGCCAAAAUGUUGUUGGUUGUUUUUACUCUUUGGGGGGCCCACCACCCAGCUCCCAAAUAAAUCACUCACAGAGACUUAUUCUUAAUUAUAAAUGCCUGGCCUUAGCUUGGUUUGUUUCUU